rnacentral:rRNA from 1 species
CAGCCGCCGCGGUAAUACGGAGGGCGCGAGCGUUGUCCGGAUUCACUGGGCGUAAAGCGGGUGUAGGCGGUCGGGUAAGUCGGACGUGAAAGCCCGGGGCUCAACCCCGGAAGGGCGUCCGAAACUGCUCGACUUGAGGGCGGGAGAGGGAGGUGGAAUUCCCGGUGUAGCGGUGAAAUGCGUAGAUAUCGGGAGCAACACCAGUGGCGAAGGCGGCCUCCUGGCCCGCUCCUGACACUGAGACCCGAAAGCGUGGGGAGCAAACCGGAUUAGAUCCCCGGGUAGUCCACGCCGUAAACGGUGGGCACUAGGUGUGGGGGGUUAAUCCCUCCGUGCCGAAGCUAACGCAUUAAGUGCCCCGCCUGGGGAGUACGGCCGCAAGGUUGAAACUUAAAGGAAUUGGCGGG